rnacentral:tRNA from 1 species
GGUGCGGUACGCCAACGGCGAGCGACUUGUCUUAGGAACAAGUGAUUGGGGGUUCGAAUCCCUCCCGCACUA